rnacentral:lncRNA from 1 species
CAGUUCCUAAAGUUACGUCUCCAGCAUCUUCCCCUGUGAAGUCACCAGUCCCCAAAGUCGCGACCCCAACAUCUGCUCCCGUGAAGUCACCAGUUCCAAAAGCUACGACUCCAACAUCUGCUCCUGUGAAACCGCCAGUUCCAAAGGUUGCAACUCCAACGGUUGCACCGGCUAAACCACUGGUUCCCAAAGUUACAACUCCAACAGCUGCACCUGUGAAACCAAUAGUUCCAAAAACUACAACUCCAACAUCUGCUCCUUUGAAACCACCAGUUCCGAAAGCUCCCGCACCAAAACCUUCUCCUGUGAAACCACCAGUUCCAAAAUCAAAACCUCCAACAACUGCUCCUGUCAAAUCACCAGUUCCGGAUCCUCCAAAACUCGCUCCUGUAAAGUUGCCAGUCCCAAAGGUUACACCGGCAUUAAGCCCAAAAACCCCAUCCCCUAAAAUUCAACCACCACCACAUCCACCCAAAAAAGCACCUGUUUCUCUACCACCAUUAUCUAUACCACCUGUUUCACUUCCACCAUUACCAUUACCACCAGCUUCUAAACCACCAAAGGUAUCCCCAGCACCUGCAAAGGUUCCAAAAGCACCAGCACCGGCCAAAGAAGCACCAGCACCAGCACCUACACACAAAAAGAAAGCACCAGCACCCGCACCAGACAAAGAAACACCGGCACCAGCACCUACACACAAAAAGAAGAAAGCACCAAAAUCAUCACCUGUUCCUUCCCCAGCAAUUCUCCCACCAUCACCUGCACCAACACCUGCAAUAGACACACCAUCAUCAGCACCAGCACCAUCGCCUGAAGAUGAUGCGCCAGAACCACCGCCACCCCAC